AACGAACGCUGGCGGCGUGCCUAACACAUGCAAGUCGAACGAGAAAGCUCCCUUCGGGGAGUGAGUAAAGUGGCGCACGGGUGAGUAACACGUGAAUCAUCUGCCCUCGAGACCGGGAUAACUUGACGAAAGUUAAGCUAAUACCGGAUAAGACCACAUGUCAUAAGAUGUGUGGCCAAAGGGAGUCUCAAACUUCGCUUGAGGAUGAGUUCGCGGACCAUUAGCUUGUUGGUGAGAUAACAGCUCACCAAGGCGACGAUGGUUAGCCGGCCUGAGAGGGUGAACGGCCACACUGGAACUGAGACACGGUCCAGACUCCUACGGGAGGCAGCAGUGGGGAAUUUUGCGCAAUGGGCGAAAGCCUGACGCAGCAACGCCGCGUGAGGGAUGAAGGUUCUCGGAUCGUAAACCUCUGUCAAGUGGGAAGAACACUGACGGUACCACUGAAGGAAGCCCCGGCUAACUCCGUG
rnacentral:rRNA from 1 species